rnacentral:lncRNA from 1 species
AUGGAAGUUCCCACGCUAGGGGUCUAAUUGAAGCUGUGGCCACUGGCCUGCGCCAGAGCCACAGCAACAGGAGAUCCAAGCCGCGUCUGCAACCUACAACACAGCUCAUGGCAACACUGGAUCCUUAACCCACUGAGCAAGACCAGGGAUUGAACCCACAACGUCAUGGUUCCUAGUCGGAUUUGUUAACCACUGCAUCACCACGGGAACUCCCUGUCUUGGUUUAAUUAUUUUGCUAUUUUCAUUUAUAUGUGCAAAGAUACUAUGUGUUUUCUUAAUAGGAAAUUUGCGAUUGGGGAGGAUUUGACAAAAAAUUUUUAUCCAAAGGAUGCCCAUAUUAUGGUACCUGACGCAUAGAAGAAUCUAAUGCAGUUGAUAAGAAAGAAUGAGAUAGGAAGGAUUCCUGCUGACCAGGAAGGAUUUCUAAACACAGACUAUUUGAUAAUAAGUAUGUAUAGUAUAAACCUGUUUUUAUUAAAAUAUUAAUAGUAAAAAGUAAUACGUGUUUGUCUUUUUAGGAAACUAUGAAAUAAAUUGUAACCAACUUGUGUUCACAAGAGAAGGAAGAUAAUGGGUUACUAUCUCUUUCUAAAUACAUUUCCAUAUAAUUUUAUUGUGGAAUUUAUUUGUAUAUCGAAAUACUUCGGCCUAUCAUUGGAAAUCUGACAACCGAAAUGUGAGCUCUAAGCCUUGUGAGGCAGUGAGCCCUUAUUAUGGUACCUUCAUUUUCCAGAUGAAGGAACACGGCGUCAAGAGGACUGACCAUUGAUGUUCUCUGUGGGUGGCAGGCAGAUUUGACAUCCUUCUUCUCCAGUGAUUUUCCAGAGUGAUGAAGCUACCUAUUAAAGAAUGCUUUUCAAAAAGCCGUAAUGAGCCUAAUCCUUGAAUAGGAAAUAGAAGUUACUAUGCAACCUUACAAGGAAAAAAUCUAUCUUGAUUUCUUUCAAAACCACAAUCUUUAAACCUCUAAUCAGUGCUAAUCCAGUUUCAGCAAGAAAAGAUGUGGACAAGAGAAAGAAGUGGGCAGAUACACAAUCUGCUGGUUGUAUUUUCCCAAGAGGAUCAUCUCCUUUUCCUUUCAGAAGAUGCCAAAUUGGAGCCGAACAUCAGGGUUACCAGGAAUGUCUUGGAGGCAAUCAGUUGCUUUCCACUGGCUGUCAGAAGUGGAUGAUGAAUGCAAACUUCAUACCUUUAUGAAAAGGGUACGAACACAGAAAGUGCUGUUGAAGGAUUGUGUGGUCUGGAUCAGUGAUGAGAACAGGAAACAAGAUUUCCCCAUCAAGUAGGCUGUCUUGACCUAUAGCUGUGUCUGCCUGCCACCUAAUAAGGGACAUUGCUGUUAUAGAUCAAAGAAAACUGGAGAAAAGAACACAAAUUUGUUGUGUUCAAGGUUGCAUUGCAGAUGCUGUCUGAGUGUUAACAACUUGGUUAUUGGGGGGAAAGGGAGGAUAUUCCCAGACUGAAACUACUAUGCCUUAUCAUCUGGGACCCAAAAGAGCUAGUAGAAUUGCAAAUUUUCAGUCUUUCUGAAGAAGGCACCACGUGAUAAUGUGUUAUAAGGAAGCCCCUGAACAAAGAAGGUAAGAAACCCAGGACCACAGUGCUCAAAACAUCAUUGUGUCUCUGAAGAAAGCACAUACUAAGCAAACUAAGGACAAGCCUUUAGAAUGAUAUGCUUUUGGCCAAGGGAAUGAAGGAAACCAAAGAAAAAUGCCAGAAACAGACUUCUGAGGCAUAGAGGCUGACCCUUCUGGGUGCUUCUACCUCUAGGUCUGAGUCUAGUCAAAAACAGGACUUUUCUAAGAAUAACAAAUUAAUAACAUCAGACAUUACAAAAGAUUAAAUGAGAUUUUAAAAAAAUACAUGAAUAUAUUUCACUACAAAAAGAUCUUGAAAAUGAUAUUUCUAGUUCCUGAAAAGGCGCCCUCACAUAAUGGUCAUAGCGCUCAAAUGGGUCAGAGAAAGAAAGACAGAUUUUCUUUCUUUAACCUGCUUUCCAUAGUACUUCUGGCUUUCCUGGGUCUCUCUCAUCUUCUCUGGUUCUCAUGCCCUCUCUCAUAUUUUCCUCCAGGGAUCCCUUUCUUUCUCUUUUUUGAGGGGUCAGCUGCUCAGCCCCAACCAAUAAACAAUAAUAAUAAUGAAAUCA